UACGUAGGUGGCAAGCGUUGUCCGGAUUUACUGGGCGUAAAGAGCGCGCAGGCGGUCGAUCAAGUCGCGUGUGAAAGCCCCCGGCUCAACUGGGGAGGGUCACGCGAUACUGAUCGACUCGAAGGCAGGGGAGGGUAGUGGAAUUCCCGGUGUAGUGGUGAAAUGCGUAGAUAUCGGGAGGAACACCAGUGGCGAAGGCGACUACCCGGCCUGUUCUUGACGCUGAGGCGCGAAAGCUAGGGGAGCAAACGGG
rnacentral:rRNA from 1 species